rnacentral:rRNA from 1 species
UACGGAGGGGGCGAGCGUUAUUCGGAAUUAUUGGGCGUAAAGGGCGCGUAGGCGGCUUGGUAAGUCAAAGGUGAAAUCCCUCGGCUCAACUGAGGAAUUGCCUUUGAAACUGCCUGGCUCGAGGCCGGGAGGGGGUAGCGGAAUUCCCAGUGUAGCGGUGAAAUGCGUAGAUACUGGGAGGAACACCAGUGGCGAAGGCGGCUACCUGGACCGGUUCUGACGCUGAGGCGCGAAAGCGUGGGUAGCAAACAGG